GACGUAGGGUGCAAGCGUUGUCCGGAUUUAUUGGGCGUAAAGAGCUCGUAGGCGGCUUGUUGCGUCGACUGUGAAAACCCGCGGCUUAACCGCGGGCUUGCAGUUGAUACGGGCAGGCUAGAGUUCGGUAGGGGAGACUGGAAUUCCUGGUGUAGCGGUGAAAUGCGCAGAUAUCAGGAGGAACACCGGUGGCGAAGGCGGUUCUCUGGGCAUUACCUGACGCUGAGGAGCGAAAGCGUGGGGAGCAAACAGG
rnacentral:rRNA from 1 species